rnacentral:rRNA from 1 species
AUCUGGGCGGCGGAAUUCAGGAUGACGGGCGCGUCUUCGCGACGCUGUUCGUCGUUUGAUAUUUCCGUCGCCGACUCAUCCGCAGACGUCGCGACCUGUUCGCGGUCGGUCCCUGCUCGGAGGAGUCGCGUUCGAGUUUGUUGCGUGUCGCGUUUACGCGCGUCACGCGGCAAAGACGCGAAUCUCUGGCUGGCCGUCGGACAGUACGCUCAACGGUGUCCGGUGUCGUCGUCUUGUACGCGCGCGCACCGGUACCGGUCGGCGACGAAUUCUUCGGGCCUCUUUCCGACCCGUCUUGAAACACGGACCAAGGAGUCUAACAUGCGCGCGAGUCGCGGGGUGUCGAGCGUACCACGGUGCGUUCGUUACGUUGCGAAACCCGUACAUGUCGAAGGCGUAAUGAAAGUAAAUGGGGAAGAUGGUGUUCCGAGUACACGUUCCGCGGUCGCUGGUACCGCGGCCGGGCAUCCGCAUUCCCAGGACGUCUCAAUGGCCCGUCGCGGAUGCCGGGCGAUCGUCUUUCGAGGCGGCCGUCGGUCUGCGACGAACCGA